AGGAAAUGUGGCAUGCCCGUUGUGGUUUACUCUGAUUAUUGAUUUAUUACUAUUAUUUAGUUCAUUUUGGGAAACGGGGUGUUACAUGGUC
rnacentral:pre_miRNA from 1 species